AUUGAACGCUGGCGGCAUGCCUUACACAUGCAAGUCGAACGGCAGCGCGGGAGCAAUCCUGGCGGCGAGUGGCGAACGGGUGAGUAAUACAUCGGAACGUGCCCAAUCGUGGGGGAUAACGCAGCGAAAGCUGUGCUAAUACCGCAUACGAUCUACGGAUGAAAGCAGGGGAUCGCAAGACCUUGCGCGAAUGGAGCGGCCGAUGGCAGAUUAGGUAGUUGGUGAGGUAAAGGCUCACCA
rnacentral:rRNA from 1 species